CGAAGGUGUUAAAGAAGUUCCAGAAGGAAGUCCCAUCUGUGACGGAAUGGUUCAAGGCACAACCUAUGAAAACACCGUCUGCUAGCUCAGUCACCUGAACAGCCAAGAUUGGCUUGCAAUGUCCAUCGUAACUAACCGUCCGAUCAAAAGCAAAGAAGCUCUCGACACACUCCGGGACAUGAAACGGAGAAAGAAUAUCUCGAAUGGAGAGAUGGGUGGCGCUGGCUUGCAGGAAAUCAACCCCUGCGUCGUUGCAGGUUAUGUAUACGUAACCAUUGGAGUCUGUUUUCAAGCGACCAGCGAGAGGAGGGAAAUGAGAAAGUGUUUGAGAGAGAGAAUUUUUAAGAAGGGAAACAAGGGAUUCAAUUGGAAUCGGAGGACGAGUGAAAAGAUUUCCCUUUUGGAUAUAGUGGCAAGAGAGCAUUGGAAGGUCAGAGACUGAGAGCUUAAGGUCUUCCAUGGUGGAUUUCUGGUCUGGGAAGACAGUGCAUUUUGAGAUCAGAGUUAAAGACGGAGCAGAAGGCAUUUUUCUUGCUAUUGAUUUUGAGUAGUGCCUUAUCUCUCU
rnacentral:misc_RNA from 1 species